rnacentral:rRNA from 1 species
GUAGGUGGCAAGCGUUGUCCGGAAUUAUUGGGCGUAAAGCGCGCGCAGGCGGUUCUUUAAGUCUGAUGUGAAAGCCCACGGCUCAACCGUGGAGGGUCAUUGGAAACUGGAGAACUUGAGUACAGAAGAGGAAAGCGGAAUUCCACGUGUAGCGGUGAAAUGCGUAGAGAUGUGGAGGAACACCAGUGGCGAAGGCGGCUUUCUGGUCUGUAACUGACGCUGAGGCGCGAAAGCGUGGGGAGCAAACAGGGAUUAGAUACCCUGGUAGUCCACGCCGUAAACGAUGAGUGCUAAGUGUUAGGGGGGUUUCCGCCCCCUUAGUGCUGCAGCUAACGCAUUAAGCACUCCGCCUGGGGAUACGGCCGCAAGGCCG